rfam:Triticum aestivum genome assembly, contig: Triticum_aestivum_CS42_TGACv1_scaffold_222771_3B
AAAGUACUCCCUUCGUCCCAAAAUUCUUGUCUUAGAUUUGUCUAGAUACAGUAUUUUGAUACAUCUGUAUCUAGACAAAUCUAAGACAAGAAUUUUGGGACGGAGGGAUUAGUUG